AAUCUUCCGCAAUGGACGAAAGUCUGACGGAGCAACGCCGCGUGAGUGAUGAAGGUCNNNGGAUCNUCAAACUCUGUUGUUAGNGAANAACAAGUAUCGUUCGAAUAGGGCUGUACCUUGACGGUACCUAACCAGAAAGCCACGGCUAACUACGUGCCAGCAGCCGCGGUAAUACGUAGGUGGCAAUCGUUAUCCGGAAUUAUUGGGCGUAAAGCGCGCGCAGGCGGUUUCUUAAGUCUGAUGUGAAAGCCCACGGCUCAACCGUGGAGGGUCAUUGGAAACUAGGAAGCUUGAGUGCAGAAGAGGAGAGUGGAAUUCCAUGUGUAGCGGCGAAAUGCGUAGAGAUAUGGAGGAACACCAGUGGCGAAGGCGACUCUCUGGUCUGCAACUGACGCUGAGGCGCGAAAGCGUGGGGAGCGAAAA
rnacentral:rRNA from 1 species